UGCAUUCGAAACUGGCAGGCUAGAGUCUUGUAGAGGGGGGUAGAAUUCCAGGUGUAGCGGUGAAAUGCGUAGAGAUCUGGAGGAAUACCGGUGGCGAAGGCGGCCCCCUGGACAAAGACUGACGCUCAGGUGCGAAAGCGUGGGGAGCAAACAGGAUUAGAUACCCUGGUAGUCCACGCCGUAAACGAUGUCGAUUUGGAGGUUGUGCCCUUGAGGCGUGGCUUCCGGAGCUAACGCGUUAAAUCGACCGCCUGGGGAGUACGGCCGCAAGGUUAAAACUCAAAUGAAUUGACGGGGGCCCGCACAAGCGGUGGAGCAUGUGGUUUAAUUCGAUGCAACGCGAAGAACCUUACCUGGUCUUGACAUCCACAGAACUUUCCAGAGAUGGAUUGGUGCCUUCGGGAACUGUGAGACAGGUGCUGCAUGGCUGUCGUCAGCUCGUGUUGUGAAAUGUUGGGUUAAGUCCCGCAACGAGCGCAACCCUUAUCCUUUGUUGCCAGCGGUCCGGCCGGGAACUCAAAGGAGACUGCCAGUGAUAAACUGGAGGAAGGUGGGGAUGACGUCAAGUCAUCAUGGCCCUUACGACCAGGGCUACACACGUGCUACAAUGGCAUAUACAAAGAGAAGCGACCUCGCGAGAGCAAGCGGACCUCAUAAAGUAUGUCGUAGUCCGGAUUGGAGUCUGCAACUCGACUCCAUGAAGUCGGAAUCGCUAGUAAUCGUAGAUCAGAAUGCUACGGUGAAUACGUUCCCGGGCCUUGUACACACCGCCCGUCACACCAUGGGAGUGGGUUGCAAAAGAAGUAGGUAGCUUAACCUUCGGGAGGGCGCUUACCACUUUGUGAUUCAUGACUGGGGUGAAGUCGUAACAAGGUAACCGUAGGGGAACCUGCGGUUGGAUCACCU
rnacentral:rRNA from 1 species